rnacentral:rRNA from 1 species
GCCCAAAAAAGCUUCUAAGCUUCAGGUAACCAGGAACCGUACCCCAAACCGACACAGGUGGUUGGGUAGAGAAUACCAAGGCGCUUGAGAGAACUCGGGUGAAGGAACUAGGCAAAAUGGCACCGUAACUUCGGGAGAAGGUGCGCCGGUGAGGGUGAAGCAUUUACUGCGUAAGCCCACGCCGGUCGAAGAUACCAGGCCGCUGCGACUGUUUAUUAAAAACACAGCACUCUGCAAACACGAAAGUGGACGUAUAGGGUGUGACGCCUCCCCGGUGCCGGAAGGUUAAUUGAUGGGGUUAGCUAACGCGAAGCUCUUGAUCGAAGCCCCGGUAAACGGCGGCCGUAACGAUAACGGUCCUAAGGUAGCGAAAUUCCUUGUCGGGUAAGUUCCGACCUGCACGAAUGGCGUAACGAUGGCGGCGCUGUCUCCACCCGAGACUCAGUGAAAUUGAAAUCGCUGUGAAGAUGCAGUGUAUCCGCGGCUAGACGGAAAGACCCCGUGAGCCUUUACUAUAGCUUUGCACUGGACUUUGAAUUUGCUUGUGUAGGAUAGGUGGGAGGCUUUGAAGCGUGGACGCCAGUCUGCGUGGAGCCAACCUUGAAAUACCACCCUGGCAACUUUGAGGUUCUAACUCAGGUCCGUUAUCUGGAUCGAGGACAGUGUAUGGUGGUAGUUUGACUGGGGCGGUCUCCUCCUAAAGAGUAACGGAGGAGUACGAAGGUGCGCUCAGACCGGUCGGAAAUCGGUCGUAGAGUAUAAAGGCAAAAGCGCGCUUGACUGCGAGACAGACACGUCGAGCAGGUACGAAAGUAGGUCUUAGUGAUCCGGUGGUUCUGUAUGGAAGGGCCAUCGCUCAACGGAUAAAAGGUACUCCGGGGAUAACAGGCUGAUACCGCCCAAGAGUUCAUAUCGACGGCGGUGUUUGGCACCUCGAUGUCGGCUCAUCACAUCCUGGGGCUGAAGCCGGUCCCAAGGGUAUGGCUGUUCGCCAUUUAAAGUGGUACGCGAGCUGGGUUUAGAACGUCGUGAGACAGUUCGGUCCCUAUCUGCCGUGGACGUUUGAGAUUUGAGAGGGGCUGCUCCUAGUACGAGAGGACCGGAGUGGACGAACCUCUGGUGUUCCGGUUGUCACGCCAGUGGCAUUGCCGGGUAGCUAUGUUCGGAAUAGAUAACCGCUGAAAGCAUCUAAGCGGGAAACUAGCCUCAAGAUGAGAUCUCACUGGAACCUUGAGUUCCCUGAAGGGCCGUCGAAGACUACGACGUUGAUAGGUGGGGUGUGUAAGCGCUGUGAGGCGUUGAGCUAACCCAUACUAAUUGCCCGUGAGGCUUGACU